AGAUAGCAUGGGCUAUACAUCAUUCUUCAUUGCGAAAAGAUAGAACAGACUUGUAAUUUUCAAGUACUCUCAGCUUCUCAGAUAGUUUCCUCAAGGUCUAAGCUUCUUAAAAUGUGUCAUCAAGGUCGUAGCCAAGUUGAUGAUAGAGAGUUAACAUGGUGGUGAGAUUUUCUGGACUCUUGUUGAAAGUAUAUGCUUCUUUUCUCGUGGAACAUUCAAUCAGGUUGGAACUAGUAUUAAUCAACUUGGAGUUUGCAAUUUUUACAGAACUUUUGACAGUAUGAAAAUGGUGGCUCAGUGAGCCAUAUCCUUAAAUUUGUCUAUUCAAUGUAAUUCAUUGACUUAAUAUAAACAUUUUAAGUUGUCAUAUUUGACUAGCUAUUUUAAGUCCACUGUACUAUGAUAUUUCAUUUCGAAAUACGUGUCGUGGUUGGCUGCAAGUCCUUGGGAAGGUGAAUUGGCUCGUUCUGUAAAAUUUGUAUUUUCUUUUUUUGAGGGGUUGAGUGACUUGGAUCUCACCCUCCCACCCUCCUACUACGCGAGAAAAACUUUGAUAUCAAAUGGAAAGCCACCACCUCAUUAGUGGUUCACCCUCAUCCAAUGAAGCGAGGUCACCUCUGGAGUCCUAAGUUUUUUUUUUCCUCUUUCCACCUUAAGUCCUAAGGUAGCUUCACCUCAUUGGGUGAGGAUGGGUCAUUCGAUGAGAUGGUGACUCUCCAUUCAAUGGUCGAACCAUGUAGGACGGUGCGAUCGCUCCAUCAAAGUUUUCUCAAAGGCGAUACUUGCUCGUGUUCAUUUAUUUACAUUCACAAAAAAGAAAGUUGAAAACAACGAGCAUAUUUGAAAGCAUAUUGUAAUUACAGUAGGAAAGACAUCACUUUGAAGUCCCAAAUUGACACAAUUCCGUCCAGCCGAUGGUACGAAAAAUGCCUUACUAAACAUUAUUUCAGUUUAAGCAAAGAGGCACCUUCCGGAGCAUUCCUUGCAAACUGAGUUUAUAGACCAGAAACAACACAAGAAGACAUGGUUACGUUCGUUGGCUACGUCGAAUAUUUGCUAUCCACAGUAGAAAGCAUGUCUCGAGCCCAUCAACAAAACAACCUUUUGAGAUAUGAUACGCAAUGAUGCUAUUUAUUUAUGGGAGAUGCUAUAUGUACCAAAUCAUUUAUCAAAUGAAUAAUCAAAUUGACAAGUGUCGUGUCCUUAUUGGAAUAGACAGACGCCCCUCUAAUAGGGGGGCGCCACUUGUCAAUUCGGUCAAAAAUUAUAUAAGAUAUUUGAUACAUGUAGAUUAAUUCUUUAUUUAUAUUGUGUUAAAAAAUUAUAAAUAAUUGUUUAUUUAAGAAAUUUUAUUUCUUUUACUUCCGUAUGUAGUCUAAAAAAAUAAAAUAAAAAAAAAUCUAUAUUUGCUUUACUGUCUAUUACAUUGAUAAGUUUUAAUUUGCAUAAAAGAAUUGCAUUUAAAGUCAUUGAAUUUCUGAACAACGCACAAAAUAUUUUUAAUGUUUUAAUGUUCGUCCUACGAGAAUUUUGUUAAGAAAAUAAGGUCCAUAGUUUUUCUAUUGAUAGCACUAAUGUUAACACAAAUGUUUAUAGAAAAAUUAAUUAACCAACUCAAUCCGGAUUUUGAAUCAAAACUCUUUCAUAUGUGUCGUGUUUUUCAUAUUUUGAUGCAAAACUGUGUCACAAUAACAGGUGAAACUAUAUCCAUCUCAUGCUACAAUCACAUCUUAUAUUUGUUACAACAAUUAUUAAUUUUACGACGCUAGGCAUUUAUACGGUUUUGAUUAUGAUUUAGUCCUUGUUUGUCUUCCAUUAAAUGAAAACUCAUUUUUUCUCACUCGUUUUCAACAAUACAUUUGCACAAUAAACUAUUUUACACAUAAACUCAAAAUUUUUCCUGCUUUUUAAUCACACAUUUUCCAAAAAAUCACUAUUCUGUAACUCAUUCUCCAAAUGUUUUGUGACCAACAUGUGCACAAGCAUCUACUAUCCAACUGAUCAUGUUGUCCUUACUCAUUUUUUAAUAUAUCAAAAAGAUUUAGCCCCUGUUUGGUUGCCAUUAUUUCCUCGUUAAAAUGAAAAAUAUAACUGUUAUUUAUCACAUCAAGCCACCAAAUUUGAAUUUCUAUCUCUUGUAUGGGGUUCGUAAUGACUAUAGUUUUCAUUCUCAUUCUUCCAAAAAUGAGAAACAAACGGGGGCUUGGUAAGAGAUUGUUCAUUUUUUAUGAAAUUAUUGCUACGAUAUAGAUGAAAUUUCAAAAAGAAGAGUGUUGCAUGUACAGCAAGUUGUACAUCAACUUAUAUAGCCCUUAUAUGCUGUACAACUAUCUUUUUCCUUUCAAAAAUAUUAGGACUUGCCCAUAUUAUUUCCUCUAUCUACAACUAUGGAUCACCGUAGUAACAUUCACGCUUAUAUUAUUAUCGAAAUAAUAUCUUCAUAUUUAACAUUUGAUAUCACAUUAUACAUAGCUCAUGAGCUAGAUCUGCUUGCCCCACCAAGAGACGAGCUCAUGGGUAGCUUGAGCUAUGUUGCCUUGCUCAACGAUUUUAACAUGCCUAAAUCUACCUCUAUAUUUACUCGCCUUUUGUAACAUUGUACAAGACCUUAAAAUAUUAGCCAGACUUCAAAAUCUUCUAUAGUGCAAAUGUCGUUGUAAUGCCAUCAAGACCUUGUUUAUUCUUGUAAUUGCUUAUCGGCACCCCACGGCCUUAUUUGGACUUCUGUUAAAGGUUAUACGUUCGUGCAUCAUGCUCAACUUUCAUAUACUAUAUAUCUAGAGUCUUGAAAGCACAUUUGCCAACUUUUUGGUGUCGGAGGCACGACGAGUUACAUACAUACAAAUAUAUUUUUGGAGGGUGGCUCUUCUUGUUUUCCCCAGGUACUGGAGCUGUUUUGUUAUUGAAAAAAGUUUACGAACCUAUACUUACAAGAAAGUCACGUGCACGCUAACAUUGUUUGUAAGAAUGAAUCUAUUAUUAUUAAUUUUUUAGAGCAUGUUUUGGGUUUUUCUAAACUUAAGCGUACACGAUAUUUAACCCUAUCAUGUUUGACUAAAAAUCAGUUUUUUAAAAAAAUAAAAUAAAAUAAAAUUGAUAAAAUAUGUGGAUCCUAUGAAAUAUGUGAUUAAAAAUAAAUUUAAAAAAAAUUAUAUUUUGAAAAAUGGGAGCCAAACAUGAAAUUAAUAUUUUAGGCUGCUUUUAGCUAAAUUUCCAAAUCAUAAGAUCUACCACGUGAGGUGUUUUAUGGUGCAUGUCACAUGCAAAAUAUCACCAUGUCUGGAAGUGCCAUUUUUGUAAAUUUUAAUAGUCGCAAAUUUAAUGGAGUUGAAAAAAAUAAAAAGAAAAGAAAAGAAAGAUAGAAAUGAAUUCGUGUUUUUUCCUCAACUUUAUUAGAAAUCAUUCUUAGCGCUUGUUUGUUUGGGAUUUUAAGCUAAUUAAAAUCAAUUUUUUAACCGUUAUUUCACUAUUACAGUCGUCAUUUUUGAAUUCUUAUCCCACAAGUAGGACCCACUUAAUCUCUAACGGUCAAAAAAUUAAUUAUUAAAAUUCCUACCAAACAAGUUCUUAGUUUGUUCUUAUAGUAGUGUUGUAUAUAAAUUUUCUCCAUCCAAAAAAGAAGCACCAUGCAUAAUAGUUGUUUCGUUAAGAUGUAACGUUCACCGAUAAUAAAUUUGUUCGUUUUACUGUUUAAUCGUACCUAAUAUAUAGAUACAAAAAAAGUCUUGUAAAUAAUGUAAUCAACCAAUCGAUCCAAAUAAUUGUUCUUCGAUCUUUAUGCUUAAUUAGGGGAGUAAUUAGGCAUUAACUAAUUGUGCCAAACGGCAAAAAAUAUUGAAGCUCUUUGUCCAAGUUUUGUGCACUCAAAUUGAGUGACAUAUGAUGUUGAUUUUGUGUUCUUGCUCUUGCUCUUGCAUUUACUCUCAAAACUAACAAAUUGGCACUUAAGAAAUUCGUUUUGUAUUUUAUUUUAUAGAGAGUAAUUAUCCCGUUUCUCUUUCUUUCAUAAAAUACCUCGUAAUUGCGAAAGAAUAAGUUAUUUUUCGAUUUUGUAAUAGAUUUUUCUCUCUUUUAAUAACACGUUUUUAGCAUGAAAUCUAAUUCUUUAAAGUCUCGUGAAGGUAAUAAUUUUUUAUAAGCAUAAUUAUGCCAAGUUGAUGAUAGAGAGUUAACAUGGUGGUGAGAUUUUCUGGACUCUUGUUGAAAGUAUAUGCUUCUUUUCUCGUGGAACAGUCAAUCAGGUUGGAACUAGAAUUAAUCAACUUGGAGUUUGCAAUUUUUACAGAACUUUUGACAGUAUGAAAAUGGUGGCUCAGUGAGCCAUAUCCUUAAAUUUGUCUAUUCAAUGUAAUUCAUUGACUUAAUAUAAACAUUUUAAGUUGUCAUCUUUGACUAGCUAUUUUAAGUCCACUGUACUAUGAUAUUUCAUUUCGAAUUACGUGUCGUGGUUGACUGCAAGUCCUUGGGAAGGUAAAUUGGCUUGUUCUGUAAAAUUUGUAUUUUCCUUUUUUGAGGGGUUGAGUGACUUGGAU
rnacentral:lncRNA from 1 species